rnacentral:rRNA from 1 species
CCGCCCGUCACAUCACGAAAGUGGGCUGUACUAGAAGCCGGUGGGCUAACCGCAAGGAAGCAGCCGUCCAAGGUAUAACUCAUGAUUGGGGUG